rnacentral:tmRNA from 1 species
AGACUAUGUAGGUUUGGUCGCCUACAUAGUCACAAUUGACUGUUAGGUCUAUGAAUCAGUCGUUAGGACGAGGGUUCGACUCCCUCAUGCUCCACAAAAAAUGGAAUAAGCAAGAAUAAUAAGAGGCCCGUAUAGAAAUCUCACGCUAAUUUUCGAUUUCUCUUUAAGAGUUUUUUCAUUAACAGCGAUAGGAAGAUCGGGAGUAGUACUCAAACUAUAAGUUAAAUUUUGUAAGAGUACUACUUUAAAUGGGGCAUCUAGGCAUUUGACUGCGACAAUGUGAAGUAGAAUAGGUCAAUAAGCAGAUAACUGGCAAUACAAGUUAUGUAAUGGAUUAUACACGCUUAGCGGCGUGAGAUAAACCAAACGGCUAAGCUAAUGUCGUAAAAAGCUGGAAGUAAGAAUAGCUCAGUAUGGAAGAGCGGUGAGAUAAUAUCAAAAGCUAGU